GUGCUCCCUUUGGCAGCACAUAUACUAAAACUGAAACGAUACAGAGAUUAGCAUGGCCCCUGCACAAGGAUGACACGCAAAUUCAUGAAGUAUUUCAUACAAAA